rnacentral:misc_RNA from 1 species
UGGUUCUGGCAUCGAUGAAGAACGCAGCGAAAUGCGAUAAGUAAUGUGAAUUGCAGAAUUCAGUGAAUCAUCGAAUCUUUGAACGCACAUUGCGCCCCUCGGUAUUCCGGGGGGCAUGCCUGUUCGAGCGUCAUUGCACCUCUCAAGCGUAGCUUGGUCUUGGGUCGCACCCUGCCCGGGUGGACCCGAAAAGCAGCGGCGGUCCGGGGGGACUUCGAGCGCAGUCAAAUUUUUCCGCUACGCAAGUCCUUCUGGCCCGGCCGGAAAACUUUUAAUUUUCAAUGAUUGACCUCGGAUCAGGUAGGGAUACCCGCUGA